AAGUGGCCGGCUAGAGCCGGGGGCUGGGCGGGGACCGGGCUUGUCGGUGAAGCGGCAGUGGCGGCGGCGGCGGCGGCUCGGCAGGCGGGUUCAGGCUUCGGGGGCCAGCCGCCGCCAUGAUCCUGCUGGAGGUGAACAACCGCAUCAUCGAGGAGACGCUCGCGCUCAAGUUCGAGAACGCGGCCGCCGGAAACAAACCGGAAGCAGUAGAAGUAACAUUUGCAGAUUUCGAUGGGGUCCUCUAUCAUAUUUCAAAUCCUAAUGGAGACAAAACAAAAGUGAUGGUCAGUAUUUCUUUGAAAUUCUACAAGGAACUUCAGGCACAUGGUGCUGAUGAGUUAUUAAAGAGGGUGUACGGGAGUUUCUUGGUAAAUCCAGAAUCAGGUAUGUAGUCAUGUGAGCAACUAUGGAAUGACAUGGGAAGAGAGGUGUCCUUUUUAUAUUACGCUUUUUUUACCCAAAGGAUUUCGUUUAAAUAUUACAAAUAUUUCUGCAUGAGCCCAUUCCUAAUUUCAACUCCCUCCAUAAAAAUAGCUUUUAAGGGGCUUUGCUUUGUCCAGUAUGGAACACAGUAGGGGUACAAAAUUGAUGUAUGACAUUUUUAACAUUUAUUUGAUGGGGCCACAUGACUCUUACUUAAUCUUUCAGCCAGAGGGCCACAUUUGUUUGUUCAUGGUGAUUAAAAUGGCUUUGAAAAGAAUGAGCAAACAUUGAUUCCCACCCUCAGCCCUUAGUAAUUCUGCAUACUACAUAUUUGGAGAAAGAAGAGGAAUAUUCACCACACUAUUCUUGUGAUUUCAAGUAAUAAAAAUCAGACCCUUUCUUAAUCCAGUCUUCUAAUAGGUUGUCUCAACAUUCAUGGCCAGAGGAAUUGAAAGGCACCGUGUCAUCCUUGAAUAGAACAGCUAUGUUAUACUGCUUUAAAAAGGAGGUUUAAAGUGGAAAAACUGAACAGCCUUUUUACCCUGUGAUUCAGUGGCAUGUCUCAAAUUCUGAGGCAUUUAGCAGGACCCCAAAGUGAGAACCAGGUAGUAAG
rnacentral:sRNA from 1 species